GGCAUGAAGUUCUUGAUUGCUCUGCGUGAGUUUUAUGAAUAAGUAAGCACGUUUGUUGUGUAUUAGGAGUGUUUAAUUUCUAUUGGUGUUGCAAUCUGCACACUGUGAAAUCCUGUCAAUGUGUGUGACGUCAGGAUGAGAGAGCGGAGAUUCCUCUGAAAAUGAGGCUUUAUCGCUGCUGACUGCAAGUGGACAAAAGUGAAGCUCAAGUUCAACCCAUUCAAAGGGAAGGAUCCCAACAUCCGAUACUUUAUUCACCUCCAAGAGAAAUUCACAUCCUAUCUAUCUGUCAGUGCUCAUGUCACAUGGAAGCCGGAACAUACAGCUGACAUUAGGAAAAGUCGACUCGGCCAUGGACUGAUCGCUACUCCGUUUUCUACUUACAUUUUUUUGUCUUUUACAUUAGUGUUAUAUGGAGGUAGUAGUAGUUACAAUAACAUAGCUGACUUUAAUAAAAAAUGAGCCAUGCUCAAUGUGGUUCUCACCCAUAACAAGCUUGGAUAACAAGACCCCAACCUUCUCAUGACUCUGAAGCAGUACAGAAAUUAUAGCUGGAUAGAUGAAUGGAGAAGCAUUCAUUUAUCAGUUGCAUUCUAUUUGAUAUGCUAUGGUGUUAAUUGUAGCUUAUCGGAAGCGGCAGUGGUUCAAAAAGCUGACAUGGCUGGGGGUCAAUGCUCCGGUCAUUCCAGGGUGUAAACCACCUUUCUGAAUGAUGUUAAAUGGGUACAGUGAGGCUGCAUUUAGAGAAGCAGACAUGAUAAAGUAGGAUACGCAUACCAGAGUGUUUAUAUGUUCCUCUCCCCACCGUGAGUCAUUCAGAAUGGAUACAAAUACAUAAAUAUUAGGGAUGUCUGUUAAUAUCGACCCGAUAUUGGCAUAAAAAUGUAAUAUCAGUCAAUAUCGUUAUCAGGAUUCCCUAUAAUGAUAAUAAACAUAAUGCUGUAUGUAGGCUUAUGGGCUCCUGUAUUUUCCAGUGCGCAAAUGAUGACCUCAUCAAGCGUGUAAA